rnacentral:misc_RNA from 1 species
CCAACAACUACCUCCUACUAUUCCUACAACCAAAGAUUCAAUACUCUGCCAAUUCGCUAUCGUCUACUAAUUUCUUCAACUAAAUUACAAAGGAAAUUAUUGAAUACACAUUUACAUUCCUUCACAUUUGUAUGGGACUCUUUUUUACUAGAGCCCAUACCUAACAUAGAUCAAUAAUCCAAUCCAAACUCAACUAAUUGAGCUUCCUCAAUCUAGCUAGCUUUUACUACCACUUUUUUUCUUCUACUUCCUGAUCACCAAUGCCUUGCAAAUACAUAAAGUUACCGAAGUUCAUUUGUUGGUCAUAGAAAGAAAGAGCAUCUUCUUCUUCUUCUGCCAUGGUGAAUGAAGAUGUGAGAUGGGAUGCCCUAGCAAGCUCUUCUGUAGCUGCCCUUUCCUCUAAAACCUUCAGUGAUGUUGCCUUCCUGUAUAUCUUGCAAAGAACUAUGUCCUCCUUCGGUAUGGAGCAGGUGCUGGGCAAUCUGUACUCGUUCAUGACCCAAUCAGUUUUGGAUCCUCUCGGUGCUCUCCCGGUGUAGAAAACCAGAGUCUUUCUAAGGCCCAGUAACCUUUUAGGAUCCGUCAAACAACGGAUGGGGCGGUCCGAUCCAGUUGCCUUCCAAUAACCAUUUGCAGUAGUUCUAUUGGGUCUUCCACCAUGCCCAUGCUUCCUCUCUCUUGGCACGAAGAAAUACCACUCUCUCUCCCCUAUCUUUGCCAGCCCUGGUAAAUCCCAAGGCUCAUGAUGAUAAAUGUCGAGGAAAGCAAUGAUAUCAGAAUAUUGAAGCUGUUUUCCUAAUACCAUCUUUUUGAGGUAGAAAUCUAAGAGUUCUUCUUCAGUGGGAUGAAACCUAAAGCCAGGAAGCUGAUCAAACUCCAUUGAUUGAAGAAACAAAGGUAAGCUCAAGUGUGAAAUUAAG